GCUGGGUGUGGUGGCUCACACCUGUAAUCCCAGCACUUUGGGAGGCUGAGGCUGGUGGAUCACUUGAGGCCAGGAGUUCGAGACCAGCCUGGCCAACACGGUGAAAUCCUGUCUCUA
rnacentral:SRP_RNA from 1 species